rnacentral:rRNA from 1 species
UACGAAGGGGGCUAGCGUUGCUCGGAAUCACUGGGCGUAAAGCGCACGUAGGCGGACUCUUAAGUCGGUGGUGAAAUCCUGGAGCUCAACUCCAGAACUGCCUUCGAUACCGAGAGUCUCGAGUCCGGGAGGGGUGAGUGGAACUGCGAGUGUAGAGGUGAAAUUCGUAGAUAUUCGCAAGAACACCAGUGGCGAAGGCGGCUCACUGGCCCGGUACUGACGCUGAGGUGCGAAAGCGUGGGGAGCAAACAGG